GUUAGGUUUUAGUGGCACUUUGUGUAUGCCAUAUUUGCUUAGUAGACACUUUUAUUGGUUGUGAGGGAAGGAGGGACUGUUGCAUCUUCAUAGUCAUGACUCUUUAUUUAUUGCCAGAAGAAUCUUCAAGAUCGUCAUACAAAUUCUCUUAUGCGGCUGAACAACUUCAAGCUCUCAUGGAUACCCUUAGUUCAACAGAGCCUCAUUUCAUCCGCUGUGUGAAGCCAAAUCAGUUAAUCAACCCUCAAAAGUUUGAAAAUUAGAGUGUGCUACAUCAGUUAUCUUGUAGGGGUGUUUUGGAGGUUGUACAAAUAAUUCUUGCGGUUUAUCCUACUUGAAAAAUUUAUCAUGAGUUAGUAGAUCGAUCUAGAAUCAUUUCCAUGGAAGUUAUGGGUGGAAGCGAUGUUUAAGGUGGACUUGCUGAGUGAUUAUAUUUAAUAUUUAUUGAAGCUGAUUUUGAUAAGUUAGAUGUCUAGUUUGUUGAUUCUCUAACACAAAUUGGCGUCCGGGUUGACUUGCUAAGGCGUUUAUUUUGAAAUGAGUGAACGCGGGCUUGAUUCUAGUUCAAAAGCUGCAUCCCACAUAAUUUUAAGAGCAUCAUUUGGUGUAAGAAUUAUCAAGGUAUUAACAUUGAUGCACUAGAGGCAGCAUGGAUGUAAAAAGUUUAAUUGAUCAGUAUGUUAACUACGUUUCGCAUUGUUUGUUUGAAAGUUUAACUGUUAACCACCCAAAUUACAGUUUUCCGCUUUAUUAUUUUGUUGUAAUAAAAACAUCAAUCAAAACAUACAAAUGGGCUACGGAUGAAACGCAGGGUACAUUUACUAGUUGGUGACAUUUGAGUGUCCAUAUAUUGAAUGUGUACAUGCUGCUAAAGUAUAUAAAAAAGUGACACUUGUAAGUGAUUUAUG